CACGCCGUAAACGAUGGAUACUAGGUGUAGGGGGUAUCGACCCCCCCUGUGCCGGAGUUAACACAAUAAGUAUCCCACCUGGGGAGUACGACCGCAAGGUUGAAACUCAAAGGAAUUGACGGGGGCCCGCACAAGCAGUGGAGUAUGUGGUUUAAUUCGAAGCAACGCGAAGAACCUUACCAGGGCUUGACAUCCUCAGGAUACCCAAGAGAUUGGGUAGUGCCUUCGGGAACUGAGAGACAGGUGG
rnacentral:rRNA from 1 species